rnacentral:rRNA from 1 species
UACGUAGGGGGCAAGCGUUGUCCGGAUUUAUUGGGCGUAAAGAGCGUGUAGGCGACUUUACAGGUCCGUUGUGAAAACUCGAGGCUCAACCUCGAGACGCCGGUGGAAACCGUAAAGCUAGAGUCCGGAAGAGGAGAGUGGAAUUCCUGGUGUAGCGGUGAAAUGCGCAGAUAUCAGGAAGAACACCCGUGGCGAAGGCGGCUCUCUGGGACGGUACUGACGCUGAGACGCGAAAGCGUGGGGAGCAAACAGG